rnacentral:misc_RNA from 1 species
ACAAAUCCUGCUGCAGUGCCCUCUUUGGGGUGCUGUAGUAUAUUAACUCGGUCCAGGCCGCAAGGUUUGGGCUGAUAAAUUAAUGUGUGUAAUGUUGACAAUGUGUGUGAGAUUAAUUAGUAGA